CACGUAGGGACCAAGCGUUGUCCGGAUUCAUUGGGCGUAAAGAGCUCGUAGGCGGCUCAGUAAGUCAGGCGUGAAACCUCCAGGCUCAACCUGGGACGCCACCCGAUACUGCUGUGGCUAGAGUCCAGUAGGGAGUGUGGAAUUCCCGGUGUGAGCGGUGAAAUGCGCAGAUAUCAGGAAGAACACCUAUGGCGAAGGCAGCUCUCUGGGACGGUACUGACGCUGAGACGCGAAAGCGUGGGAGCGAAGCAGG
rnacentral:rRNA from 1 species